UAUGAAUGUUUCUUGAGAAUUGCCGUUU
rnacentral:sRNA from 1 species